GACAGAGGAUGCAAGCGUUAUCCGGAAUGAUUGGGCGUAAAGCGUCUGUAGGUGGCUUUUUAAGUCUGCCGUCAAAUCCCAGGGCUUAACCCUGGACAGGCGGUGGAAACUACCAAGCUGGAGUACGGUAGGGGCAGAGGGAAUUUCCGGUGGAGCGGUGAAAUGCGUAGAGAUCAGGAAGAACACCAACGGCGAAAGCACUCUGCUGGGCCGACACUGACACUGAGAGACGAAAGCUAGGGGAGCAAACGGG
rnacentral:rRNA from 1 species